rnacentral:snoRNA from 1 species
UUGCAAGUGGAAAUGUCUGCUCUUCAUUCAUUUGGGAGCAAGAAUACAUUCAUAGCAUGCUACAUUAAAAAACGUGUUCUCGUGGUGGUUCACAGGCGGAA